UGCGCCAGGUCGGAUAGCCUGGGGCUGGAGUCGGUUGCCCAGCGUAACACUCGAUUGGCUGAGUGACGGAGCAGUGACGGACGCGCUGACGCGUCCCCCCAGCCACCGCCGGCCCAAUCAGCUGAAACUCACCUUUGUGCCUUGUUCGCGUUCCUUUCCGUUCAAACGAAUGGAGAAGCCGUUCCCGGACCGGCCGGGCUUGGGUUUCCCACCGUGGAAUUGCUGUAGACUUCGUGCUCACGGACUGUUGACAGUGGCUUUGAGACUUCUGCGGAAAUGCUGAGGCAAUCACUCAAGAUCAAGGAUGAUGUGAAUUCCGAGAUGGAUCAUGAGGGCAAUGUGGAACCCACAGACUGUGACAGCUCGACCAGACACACAGUGCUGGAUCUCACAAAGGAACCUUGAUGAUCCAAUCAGUGACUGAGCAGGAUGUGGAAGGAUGAUCAAGCAUUGCUACGAAGAGGGCAGAAUUGUGAGUAAAGAACGAUCAGUACUUGAACCGUCGCUGACUUCCCAAAAGCUUGUUCGUCAAGUUCACACAUCCCAGUUUGAUACAAGAAUGAAAAAUGGGAAGGCAAUUUAAAAAUGAGUAUUUGACAAGGGGUUUAAAAAUAAAACUACAGGAUAUAAAAUUCCUGACUAUUGCAUUAUCACAAAUGGGGAUUUUCCAUGUUCUGUGUUGGUUCUUGAGAGUAUUAUACAUUUAUAAAAGUUAAUUCCAUGCAAAGAUAAAUUGGAUAUUAAUUACUAUUAGAUAUGCAACACAUUAAACACAUAUGCUAUAAGCUCAAAGUUAUAAGCUGAAAUAUCGCCAGAUUUACCACCAAUAAUGCCACAAAUUAUAUACUGGUAUUAUCUUAAGUAAUCUAGUAUUGGGUUUGUCCCAAAUUCUUGACAUACGGACAUAAGAUUUAAGGGAUGCUAAGAAACAUGGACUUGAGCAAUUGGGACCAAGACUUUCAGCUCCACAAUUUUCAAACAAUAAAGAGGUGGGACAAUUAAACAAAGCUUCUUCUGUAUUAUUUUCUCUGCCAAAGACAUUAUCAUGGAUACAGUAGCAGAAUGGCUAAGUUACUGGACUAACAUUCAGAGGUUUUUACUUUUGAACUACAAAGAAGGUUGGGGAACAUAAUUUCAAGGAAUAAAUCUGAUAAAAACUUGCAUUGGUAAUAGUAACAUGAAAUUAUCAGAUGGUUGCAAAAAAAAAUUAUUUAUUUCAGGGAAGGAAAUCUGUCUUUCCUGGUCUGGGUGGUACCCAAUUCCAGACCCAAUAAUAUGGUUGUCUCUUAACUGUCUUCUGAAAUUGCCUAGCAAGCCACCUCCUUAGGAAUGGCUCACACUUAACAUUUGUAUGAACAAGUUUAAAGGCCUUUGAGAAUUUAAACAAGAUGUUAGAUACAUGGAAGUUUUGAUUUAACAUUGGAUGCACUGUGCAUGAAAUCCUUCUUUAAGAUUACUUUUUUACUCCCUGCACAAGGCUUAAUUACAGAUAUUUGGAUAUUACCAAAAAAAAAAGAUUCAGUGAUUAUUUGAAAGAAAUGCACACAUCAUAGCAGGUGGGUAAGCUUGGUAACUGGGUUCAAUAUGGAUGUAUGCCAGGCCACCAUUAUCACUAUUAUUAAAUUGAGAAAAUCACUUUACACAAAAGCAGUGUGAGAACUUCAUUUCUGUUAUUGAGUCCAUGCUGUGACCUUCUGCAAUGACAGCAGGCUGGAUUUCUCAAUAAAAGUUGAAGCACUGCCAGUAACUGCAUUAAGCUCUCCUGUCAAACAAUAGGAAUUCAAUAAAUAAAAAAAAUAAUUGCAGCUCAUUAACCAACACUGCUGGACGCAUGUUCUUUAGGUCCAAGAAAAUAUAAGGCGUCAUCACAUAAAGUUCCUGACAAAAGAAAUGCCCAAAAUCUCUGCUUGUGCUGCUUAGGAGGAUAACGUACAGGGCAAUUCUCUUCCCCAUGUUAAAUCACCAAACCUCUAUGAAGUACCUUUCCCUUUCAGCAAUGCACCAUAGAUCAGGAAUUUACUUCUCUCAAAAAGCAAAAUGCUAAAAAUAUUAAAUAAAAACAGAAAGUGCUCAGGAUACUUAGUAUAUCACUGAUGUCCCUUUACCAAAAUGUUUAACUCUCGAUGAAUAGGAACUGAUUAAAAAGGAAUGGUUCUCUUCCACAAAUGUCAUUCAUAAUUGCUCAUACUAGAUUUUUUUUUUUAACUCAGCUCCAAAGAACAAAAAAAUAUUUUAGUAGGUAAACUGCCUUAUCCUGGAACAUCAUACCGUUCAAUGUUUUGAUGACCUGUGUAGUUUCUGCUUAUUAAACACAUGCAAUGCCCUUUUUUUGAGUUGGAAACAGGUCAUAUUACUGACAACGUUAUAUGGUUCCCAGGAUUUUGAAAGCAGCAUCAUAAAACAAACUUAUUAGUGUGAUUUUUAACUUGGUUUGCAUCCACUAAACCUAAUAAUUAGCUUAUGAUGUUAAUAGUAAGAGCUAUCAUUAAUACAUUCACCCUGCGUAUUUAACUUUGACUGUGAUGCAGUUAGAAUUAUGUCUGAUGCCUCACUGUGGGAAACAAUAUGCUAACUAUUAUUUUUGUUUUCUGAUGGAUACACAA